rnacentral:rRNA from 1 species
AUAUAACUUUCAACAACGGAUCUCUUGGCUCUCGCAUCGAUGAAGAACGCAGCGAAAUGCGAUAAGUAAUGUGAAUUGCAGAAUUCAGUGAAUCAUCGAAUCUUU